GACGAACGCUGGCGGCGUGCCUAAUGCAUGCAAGUCGCACGCGGCACCUUCGGGUGCUGAGUGUCGAACGGCUGAGGAACACGUGGGGACCUGUCCGGGAGUGGGGCACAACACCGCGAAAACUGUGCUAAUCCCGCAUACGCUCUGGGGAGGAAAGCCGAAAGCCGCUGCGGGGUGGCCCUGCGGCCCAUCAGGUUGUUGGUGGGGUAACGUCCUACCAAGCCAAUGACGGGUGGCUGGUCUGUGAGGACGACCAGCCAGAGUGGGACGGGGAGACCGGACAGAGUCCUAAGGGAGGAAGCAGAAAGGAAUCUUAGGCAACGGGCGCAAGACUGAGCGAGCAACGGCGCGUGCAGGAAGACGGCCUGCGGGUUGCAAACUGCUUUUGCUAGGGAUGAUAACAGACAGUACCUGGCGAAUAAGCCCCGGCUAACUAUGUG
rnacentral:rRNA from 1 species